rnacentral:misc_RNA from 1 species
ACUGGCGCCGACACUCUGGCGACAGAGAGUCGGAUGCCGGAAAGUUGGUCAAACUUGAUCAUUUAGAGGAAGUAAAAGUCGUAACAAGGUUUCCGUAGGUGAACCUGCGGAAGGAUCAUUACCGAUACGUGUCCAAAUCAAGUCUUUGACUUGUACCGUGUGAACUCGAGCAAACUUUUAGGGGUCGGCAAGUCCGUUAAAUGGCGGUCGGACGCAGGGCUGCUGAGCUUCUGCGGCCGCCCGUCCAGCCCCGCCAGUGUUUUUUUUUAACCAACAUGCUUGACAGAGUCUGAAGGCUGCGCUCGUGUGCGGCGCGGGUUUGCGCCCCGCCGCGCAGAGCGAGACGAAAAAGAUUGACAACUUUUGACGGUGGAUCUCUUGGCUCACGCAUCGAUGAAGAACGCAGCCAGCUGCGAUAAGUAGUGUGAAUUGCAGAAUUCAGUGAAUCAUCGAAUCUUUGAACGCAAAUGGCGCUCUUGGGUUCUCCCAGGAGCAUGUCUGUCUGAGUGUCGGAUAUCACCCAUCGCACUUGAGUGUGCGGAGUUGAGGCGUCACGGCCGCCGGCUGUUGCGGGCAGGCCGUGUCCCUCGAAAGGCAGAGAGACCCGCCGUGACUGGGGCUUCUUCCCGGCACACCAGCGGAGGCUAAAACUCGUUUUGCCCUUCGCGUGCCCGGCGAAGACCUCGGUCGCACCCGGGUCGUAGGCGAACUGGAAGAGACACAAACACAUCUUGACCUCAGAUCAGGCAAGGCUACCCGCUGAAU